GCACUGGUGGUUCAGUGGUAAAAUUCUCAUCUUCCAUGCAAGAGACCCAGGUUUGAUUCCUGCCCAAUGUG
rnacentral:tRNA from 1 species